ACAAUAAUAGUUUAAAUUUAAAAUGACGAUUUUGUAAAUUGAUGAGUGAAAAAUUAAUUUCUUAUUGUA
rnacentral:tRNA from 1 species